AACGAACGCUGGCGGCAUGCCUAACACAUGCAAGUCGAACGAAGGCUUCGGCCUUAGUGGCGCACGGGUGAGUAACGCGUGGGAAACUGCCUAUUGGUGGGGAAUAACGACGGGAAACUGUCGCUAAUACCGCAUAAGCCCCUCGGGGGAAAGAUUUAUCGCCGAUAGAUGUGCCCGCGUCCGAUUAGCUAGUUGGUGAGGUAAUGGCUCACCAAGGCGACGACCGGUAGCUGGUCUGAGAGGAUGAUCAGCCACACUGGGACUGAGACACGGCCCAGACUCCUACGGGAGGCAGCAGUGGGGAAUAUUGGACAAUGGGCGAAAGCCUGAUCCAGCAAUGCCGCGUGAGUGAUGAAGGCCUUAGGGUUGUAAAGCUCUUUCGGGUGGGACGAUGAUGACGGUACCACCAGAAGAAGCCCCGGCUAACUUCGUGCCAGCCGCCGCAGUAA
rnacentral:rRNA from 1 species